GAACGAACGCUGGCGGCAGGCUUAACACAUGCAAGUCGAACGCCCCGCAAGGGGAGUGGCAGACGGGUGAGUAACACGUGGGAACGUGCCCUUCGCUUCGGGACAACCGCGGGAAACUGCGGCUGAUACCGGAUGAUACCUGAGGGUCAAAGAUUUAUCGCCUUUGGAGGGGCCCGCGUCGGAUUAGGUAGUUGGUGGGGUAACGGCCUACCAAGCCUAUGAUCCGUAACUGGUCUGAGAGGAUGACCAGUCACACUGGGACUGAGACACGGCCCAGACUCCUACGGGAGGCAGCAGUGGGGAGUAUUGGACAAUGGGGGCAACCCUGAUCCAGCAAUGCCGCGUGGGUGAUGAAGGCCUUCGGGUUGUAAAGCCCCUUCGGCGGGGACGAUGAUGACGGUACCCGCAGAAGAAGCCCCGGCUAACUUCGUG
rnacentral:rRNA from 1 species